ensembl:lncRNA
UCCCCCCUCCCCGUGUGCGUUUGUGUUCGCUCUGGUAAACAGCAUCUCCCUCUCCUCGGUUCCCUCUGCUAAACAGCAUCCGUGCGUGUCUGCAGGUGAGAGGGACGCGGCUCUGGUUACCACACGGGGAAAUGACGAAACCCGCUUCCUGAUUCACCAGCCAGCCAGCCUACCUACCUACCGACUUACCUGUCUUCUCGCUCAGCGCCAUCAAAACAAAACACACACACACUAAAACUAAAAGUCCCGGUUUCCAAUAUGAGGACAGCGAUGCGUCUCCUAUGAUUCGGACCACGCACUAUGAAAGGAGGGGAGUGCAAUAGAGGAGGAUACACGGGAGCAGCCUACACCUGUCGACGACCUACGGCGAAUUCGGAUGGUGCUACAGUCGGAGCAGGGGGGUUAGGGAUCACGCACCAGGACGCCGGCUACAGUAGCAUGAAGACCCAGCUGGUGAGUGCCAUACACCUACAAGAGGUCGAGCUGGACGAAAUAGAGGGGGGCAACGAUCCAGCAGAUGACAAAAGCAAUAACAAUGAGGACCCGACCUACACGGUGGAGGAGGCGGUGGAGACCAUCGGCUUCGGUCGGUUCCACGUCCUGCUCUUCGUCAUCAUGGGCAGCGCCAAC